UACGUAGGGUGCGAGCGUUGUCCGGAUUUAUUGGGCGUAAAGAGCUCGUAGGCGGUUUGUCGCGUCGGCCGUGAAAUCUCCACGCUUAACGUGGAGCGUGCGGUCGAUACGGGCAGACUUGAGUUCGGUAGGGGAGACUGGAAUUCCUGGUGUAGCGGUGAAAUGCGCGGAUAUCAGGAGGAACACCGGUGGCGAAGGCGGGUCUCUGGGCAGUAACUGACGCUGAGGAGCGAAAGCGUGGGGGAGCGAACAGG
rnacentral:rRNA from 1 species